CAAACCAACAAGAACAACAAUGACUUUCAGCAUCAUCUUCAUCUGGACACUCACAGUGUUUGCACAAGAGUGUAGAGGACAGUACACUGUUACUCAGAGUCCAUCAAUAACAGCAGUUCAACCAGGACAACAUGUUCAAAUAAAGUGUAAAGUCAGCAGUGGGGUGUAUAAUAGUGAUUUCUUAGCCUGGUACUUACAGAAACCUGGAGAAGCUCCUAAACUCCUCAUAUAUAGAGCAACAACCCUCCAGUCUGGAGUAUCAUCUAGAUUCAGUGGCAGUGGAUCAAACACAGAUUUCACUCUGAGCAUCAGUGGAGUUCAGACUGAAGAUUCAGGAGAUUAUUACUGUCAGAGUGCUCAUCAUAUCAACAGUAAAUGGGUGUUGACACAGUGAUAAAGAGUCGUACAAAAACCUCCGUCAGUCAGACUGAACAUUGACUGCACUGAUACACCUGACACAUACUGCAGCUGCUCAUACAACACACACAUGCACACACACAAGCACACAACAAAACUGAACUAUUUAAAGAAUUUCAAAAAUUAUUUAGACAAUUUAAUUACUUAAAUCCAAACUGAGUCUUGAGUUAUCAGAUAUUUUAUUUUUGUCAAAUUCAGAUGAUUGAACCAAUCAAACAGUGUAAAUUUUGAUCAUAAUAUUCUUUUAGUUAAAUUCAUGAUUUAUGUCAAUCAUAUAUGUGCACAAACAACUUUAUAACAUAGCAAUAAAUAUAUUGUGUUUUUGG